UGCAAGUCGAGCGGGGAAGAGUAGCUUGCUACUUUACCUAGCGGCGGACGGGUGAGUAAUGCUUAGGAAUCUGCCUAUUAGUGGGGGACAACAUCUCGAAAGGGAUGCUAAUACCGCAUACGUCCUACGGGAGAAAGCAGGGGACCUUCGGGCCUUGCGCUAAUAGAUGAGCCUAAGUCGGAUUAGCUAGUUGGUGGGGUAAAGGCCUACCAAGGCGACGAUCUGUAGCGGGUCUGAGAGGAUGAUCCGCCACACUGGGACUGAGACACGGCCCAGACUCCUACGGGAGGCAGCAGUGGGGAAUAUUGGACAAUGGGGGGAACCCUGAUCCAGCCAUGCCGCGUGUGUGAAGAAGGCCUUUUGGUUGUAAAGCACUUUAAGCGAGGAGGAGGCUACCGAGAUUAAUACUCUUGGAUAGUGGACGUUACUCGCAGAAUAAGCACCGGCUAACUCUGUGCCAGCAGCCGCGGUAAUACAGAGGGUGCAAGCGUUAAUCGGAUUUACUGGGCGUAAAGCGCGCGUAGGUGGCCAAUUAAGUCAAAUGUGAAAUCCCCGAGCUUAACUUGGGAAUUGCAUUCGAUACUGGUUGGCUAGAGUAUGGGAGAGGAUGGUAGAAUUCCAGGUGUAGCGGUGAAAUGCGUAGAGAUCUGGAGGAAUACCGAUGGCGAAGGCAGCCAUCUGGCCUAAUACUGACACUGAGGUGCGAAAGCAUGGGGAGCAAACAGGAUUAGAUACCCUGGUAGUCCAUGCCGUAAACGAUGUCUACUAG
rnacentral:rRNA from 1 species